rnacentral:rRNA from 1 species
GCCUUCGGGUUUAGUGGCGCACGGGUGCGUAACGCGCUGGGAAUCUGCCCCUUGGUUCGGAAUAACAGUUGGAAACGACUGCUAAUACCGGAUGAUGACGUAAGUCCAAAGAUUUAUCGCCGAGGGAUGAGCCCGCGUAGGAUUAGGUAGUUGGUGUGGUAAAGGCGCACCAAGCCGACGAUCCUUAGCUGGUCUGAGAGGAUGAUCAGCCACACUGGGACUGAGACACGGCCCAGACUCCUACGGGAGGCAGCAGUGGGGAAUAUUGGACAAUGGGCGAAAGCCUGAUCCAGCAAUGCCGCGUGAGUGAUGAAGGCCUUAGGGUUGUAAAGCUCUUUUACCCGGGAUGAUAAUGACAGUACCGGGAGAAUAAGCUCCGGCUAACUCCGUGC